rnacentral:lncRNA from 1 species
CCACGUGAGCAUACUGGGCUGAAAAUGGUAAGCAGGAUUUGUAAUUUCUUCUAAGUCGAGUCGACCCUUUGAUGACUCUGCUCCCCUGGAACUCUGAUAAAGGUAAAAUGUCAACUCAGUUUCCAGGCAAAACAUCUGAUGACCACAUCUGGACCUGGAGGACUAUGAAUGAACUAUAAAUACAUGGUGGGAGCCACCACUUUAGGUUUCCCCCUGUGCGAUGAGUUCUUUUAACUGGACAUACCCUUAACUGGGUAUCAUGUGACUGCUAAGAGAGAUACUAAUCCUAUGUAGAACACGGACUUCUAAGCCAAGCUGGCUAUGACACCCAUCUGCAUGAAUCUCAUUCUCUCCAACUUAAACUGUCAUUUAGGGGAACAGUAAGACCAGUUCUUGGACUGCUUAGAGUAUACCACCAAGGAGAAGAGAACUACCUAAUGCUGCCCUGCGAGCUUGCUGUGUUUCCUGUCUGACAUCCUGCUAAGUGAAUCCAUUGCCAAGAGCAGCUUACUGUAGGCCUGUGUGAGUCUAAAGGCCUAGAUGAA